AUCAAGCGUGGGUUCAAGUUAAACUCUAAUUUAUUUAUUUCUUUGGAUUCAGGUGGACAUGUCAUAGGUGCAGAUGGGCUUGAUUAAGCCGUGAAAUCAACUUCAUUUACGGACUGACGUAAAGCUUGCCGUUUGACACCGUCGGCCUCGCGAACCAACCAUACCUACACAUGCUGUUUGACACCGUCGGCCUUGCCGUACUCAGUCAGGUUGCCACAGGAAGGCGUCAGGAGUUUCAUAUGAACUGGUUGACUGUGGGUGUGGGCAUGGGUUCCUCGGAGAAGGGAUCCACUCUUUCACAGCUAAGUAUUUUUUACCUAAAAAAAGAUCCAUGUCUACACUGCUAUAGAUUUGGUGUAACUCAUAUUACAAGUAUGCCUCUAUAUAUGUUCCCAAAUGAGCGAACCCCUUGCAAUGUCAAGGUUAUGCAUGUCUUUCACAUUGUUGCUUCCCAUUGCCCAUUGGUAUCUGCCUCGGAUGGCUUCACCAUUGCAAAAGCUAUUGUAGUCGUGCACAACAUACUUCACUGAACUCUUUGUAGCUUUGUAGAAUUUUGCUAAAAACUGUUGUUACUAUUUCAGCAUCGAGAGUGAUGUUAUUUUCUUCCUAUGUUGUAGACGCCAGAAACGUUUGGUGAAAGGGAACACCAUCAUGGUCUUUUAUAGAGCUACAAAUGAAUCUUUACCAAUGUUUUUCCGUAGGCAAUUGUUUGCUCUGCUUGAAACUGUGAGGUCGGUAUUUUGAUUUUGAUUUUUUUUUCUUAACUGCAGAUUUCACCAACUAUUACGUACAUAUAUUGUGUUACUGGACAUUACCUCUAUAUGUGUUCACUUGAAAAGAUAAGACUAUUUUAUCGACCAAUAUUUUCCACUUCCAUUUGAAGGGAAUAUUAUGGUUCUCUAGGGAUUUAUGUUAUCUUACCGUUCUAUAUGAUGAAAAUGAUUCUCUUCUUCAUUCCCUUUCUAUCCACCUCUAACAUGUUGUUUGCUGCUUUUUCCUUGUUAUGAUUUUUCCUGCUCUUUUAAAAAUCAUUAACUCAUUAGGCAUAUAAGAAAAAGAAUGCAAGGUUUAGUAAGGUGCUUUUGGAACUUAAAAAAGGUUCAUUCUUAUUCUAAAGGAGGGUAUGCAAUCAAUAUCGUGGCAUUCUGAUGGCUCUUGUAAGUUUCAAAUGGGAGAUUAUGGGACAACUUGAUUGUUAACCUCCAUUAUUAUUAAACAAUCAAACUAAAGCUUUCUUACAUGCACCCCGCAGUUAGCCCCAUAACACCGCACGAUCAAAUCAGCGCCACAGGAUUAGCCACAAAUCUCCAUCUAACAGCUAUCUUUAAUCUAAUCCGAUCCCUGAUGUGCAGUUAGUAAUUUAACAUGACUGACCGUACUCCACCGCGGAGGAAAACACCUCCGCACAGAACGCACAAAGCAUUUUCCUCUAUAUUAUCCCUUCCGCCAAUCACUAUCCUACCUCGCCCACCCCGCACUCCCGAUCUCUGCCGCCACCUCCUGCAUCGACCUCCGCUGGUGCCGCUACCUCCUAUGCCCCGGCCCGCGCCCCCCCCCAACGCCGACCUCCGUCGGCGCUCCUCCCGUCCUGCACGCCCAACGAAUCUUCACCAGAGCGCCUCCACGCAGAGAACGCCGGGGCGCAUGGGGAACCUCCAUUGCACUCCCUUCCAACGGGCGCCCGGCGGGAACUCAGCUCCUCCCCUCUCUCUUCUUCACCACCAACCCAGCCCACCAAUGACGAACCAAGACGAGGAGGUGGCAGCUGAAAUUUUGGAUCGCUCACAGGGUGCAGAGAUCCAACAAGCGACGGGGGCGGCGCUUCAAGCUCUGCAGGAAUAGGAUUAAUGGCACACGAGAAGAAUUCGUCAAACACGCUCUCGGCCUGAUCUUGCCGUUUGACACCGUCGGCCUCGCGAACAAACCAUACCUACACAUGCUGUUUGAUACCGUCGGCCUCGCCGUACUCAGUCAGGUUUCCACGGGAAGGCGUCAGGAGUUCCAUAUGAACUGGUUGACUGUGGGUGUGGGCAUGGGUUCCUCGGAGAAGGGAUCCACUCUUUCACAGCUAAGUAUUUUUUACCUAAAAAAAGAUCCAUGUCUACACUGCUAUAGAUUUGGUGUAACUCAUAUUACAAGUAUGCCUCUAUAUAUGUUCCCAAAUGAGCGAACCCCUUGCAAUGUCAAGGUUAUGCAUGUCUUUCACAUUGUUGCUUCCCAUUGCCCAUUGGUAUCUGCCUCGGAUGGCUUCACCAUUGCAAAAGCUAUUGUAGUCGUGCACAACAUACUUCACUGAACUCUUUGUAGCUUUGUGGAAUUUUGCUAAAAACUGUUGUUACUAUUUCAGCAUCGAGAGUGAUGUUAUUUUCUUCCUAUGUUGUAGACGCUAGAAACGUUUGGUGAAAGGAAACACCAUCAUGGUCUUUUAUAGAGCUACAAAUGAAUCUUUACCAAUGUUUUUCCGUAGGCAAUUGCUCUGCUUGAAACUGUGAGGUCGGUAUUUUGAUUUUGAUUUUUUUUCUUAACUGCAGAUUUCACCAACUAUUACGUACAUAUAUUGUGUUACUGCACAUUACCUCUAUAUGUGUUCACUUGAAAAGAUAAGACUAUUUUAUCGACCAAUAUUUUCAACUACCAUUUGAAGGGAAUAUUAUGGUUCUCUGGGGAUUUAUGUUAUCUUACCGUUCUAUAUGAUGAAAAUGAUUCUCUUCUUCAUUCCCUUUCUAUCCACCUCUAACAUGUUGUUUGCUGCUUUUUCCUUGUUAUGAUUUUUCCUGCUCUUUAAAAAAUCAUCAACUCAUUAGGCAUAUAAGAAAAAGAAUGCAAGGUUUAGUAAGGUGCUUUUGGAACUUAAAAAAGGUUCAUUCUUAUUCUAAAGGAGGGUAUGCAAUCAAUAUCGUGGCAUUCUGAUGGCUCUUGUAAGUUUCAAAUGGGAGAUUAUGGGACAACUUGAUUGUUAACCUCCACUACUAUUAAACAAUCAAACUAGAACUUUCUUACAUGCACCCCGUAGUUAGCCCCAUAACACCGCACGAUCAAAUCAGCGCCACAGGAUUAGCCACAAAUUUCCAUCUAACAGCUAUCUUUAAUCUAAUCCAAUCCCUGAUGUGCAGUUAGUAAUUUAACAUGACUGACCGUACUCCACCGCGGAGGAAAACACCUCCGCACAGAACGCACAAAGCAUUUUCCUCUAUAUUAUCCCUUCCGUCAGUCUCUAUCCUACCUCGCCCACUCCGCACUCCCGAUCUCUGCCGCCACCUCCUGCAUCGACCUCCGCUGGUGCCGCUACCUCCUAUGCCCCGGCCCCCGCGCCCCCCCAACUCCGACCUCCGGUGGCGCUCCUCCCGUCCUGCACGCCCAACGCAUCUUCACCAGAGCGCCUCCACGCAGAGAACGCCGGGGCGCAUGGGGAACCUCCAUUGCACUCCCUUCCAACGGGCGCCCGACCGGAACUCAGCUCCUCCCCUCUCUCUUCUUCACCACCAACCAAGCCCACCAAUGACGAACCAAGACGAGGAGGUGGCAGCUGAAAUUUUGGAUCGCUCACAGGGUGCAGAGAUCCAACAAGCGACGAGGGCGGCGCUUCAAGCUCUGCAGGAAUAGGAUUAAUGGCACACGAGAAGAAUUCGUCAAACACGCUCUCGGCCUGAUGUAAGUGCUACUUCUAGGCAAGCUUUUGGAUGACACCGGUUCAUAAUUCAACAAGCAUACCAAGCUUCUCAAGACCCAGAAGUUUGCGUCCAAGCCUGACCACAAGGUGGACAUGUCAUAGGUGCAGAUGGGCUUGAUUAAGCCAUGAAAUCAACUUCAUUUACGAACUGACGUAAAGCUUGCCGUUUGACACCGUCGGCCUCGCGAACCAACCAUACCUACACAUGCUGUUUGACACCGUCGGCCUCGCCGUACUCAGUCAGGUUGCCACGGGAAGGCGUCAGGAGUUCCAUAUGAACUGGUUGACUGUGGGUGUGGGCAUGGGCUCCUCGGAGAAGGGAUCCACUCUUUCACAGCUAAGUAUUUUUUACCUAAAAAAAGAUCAAUGUCUGCACUGCUAUAUAUUUGGUGUAACUCAUAUUACAAGUAUGCAUCGAUAUAUGUUCCCAAAUGAGCAAACCCCUUGCAAUGUCAAGAUUAUGCAUGUCUUUCACAUUGUCGCUUCCCAUUGCCCAUUGGUAUCUGCCUCGGAUGGCUUCACCAUUGCAAAAGCUAUUGAAGUCGUGCACAACAUACUUCACUGAACUCUUCGUAGCUUUGUGGAAUUUUGCUAAAAAAGGUUGUUACUAUUUCAGCAUCGAGAGUGAUGUUAUUUUCUUCCUAUGUUGUAGACGCCAGAAACGUUUGGCGGAAGGAAACACUAUCAUGGUCUAUUAUAGAGCUACAAAUGAAUCUUUACCAAUGUUUUUCCAUAGGCAAUUGUUUGCUCUGCUUGAAACUGUGAGGUCGGUAUUUUGAUUUGUUUUUUGUCUUCUUAACUGCAGAUUUGUCACCAACUAUUACGUACAUAUAUUGUGUUACUGCACAUUACCCUCUAUAUGUGUUCACUUGAAAAGAUAAGACUAUUUUAUCGACCAAUAUUUUCAACUACCA